AGAGUUUGAUCCUGGCUCAGAGUGAACGCUGGCGGCGUGCUUUACACAUGCAAGUCGAACGAGAACGGAUUAUAGCUUGCUAUAAUUGUCAGCUAAGUGGCGCACGGGUGAGUAAUGUAUAGGUAAUAUGCCUCUUACUAAGGGAUAACAAAUGGAAACGUUUGCUAAUACCUUAUACUCCUUAUUAACAUAAGUUAAUAAGGGAAAGAUUUAUUGGUAAGAGAUUAGCCUGUAUUGUAUCAGUUAGUUGGUGGGGUAAUGGCUUACCAAGACUAUGACACAUAACUGGUUUGAGAGGAUGAUCAGUCACACUGGAACUGAGACACGGUCCAGACUCCUACGGGAGGCAGCAGUGGGGAAUAUUGCACAAUGGACGAAAGUCUGAUGCAGCAACGCCGCGUGGAGGAUGACACAUUUCGGUGCGUAAACUCCUUUUAUAUGAGAAGAUAGUGACGGUAUUAUAUGAAUAAGCACCGGCUAACUCCGUGCCAGCAGCCGCGGUAAUAC
rnacentral:rRNA from 1 species